CGAGGAAUCUUGCGCAAUGGGGGAAACCCUGACGCAGCAACGCCGCGUGAGUGAGGAAGGUCUUCGGGUCGUAAAGCUCUGUCAGGCGGGAAGAAAUGGAUGGAGGUGAACAGCCGCCAUGCUUGACGGUACCGCCAGAGGAAGCACCGGCUAACUCCGUGCCAGCAGCCGCGGUAAUACGGGGGGUGCAAGCGUUGUUCGGAUUCAUUGGGCGUAAAGAGCGUGUAGGCGGCUUGGUAAGUCAGAUGUGAAAGCCCUGGGCUCAACCCGGGAAGUGCAGUUGAAACUGCCAGGCUCGAGUAGGGGAGAGGGAAGUGGAAUUCCUGGUGUAGAGGUGAAAUUCGUAGAUAUCAGGAGGAACACCGGUGGCGAAGGCGACUUCCUGGCCCUAUACUGACGCUGAGACGCGAGAGCGUGGGUAGCAAACAG
rnacentral:rRNA from 1 species